GGCUUUCGGAUCGUAAAGUUCUGUUGUUAGGGAAGAAACAGUGCCAUUUAAAUAAGGUGCACCUUGACGGUACCUAACGAGAAAGCCACGGCUAACUACGUGCCAGCAGCCGCGGUAAUACGUAGGUGGCAAGCGUUGUCCGGAAUUAUUGGGCGUAAAGCGCGCGCAGGUGGCUAUGUAAGUCUGAUGUUAAAGCCCGGGGCUCAACCUCGGUUCGCAUUGGAAACUGGGUAGCUUGUGCAGGAAAGGAAAGUGGUAUUCCACGUGUAGCGGUGAAAUGCGUAGAGAUGUGGAGGAACACCAGUGGCGAAGGCGACUUUCUGGCCUGUAACUGACACUGAGGCGCGAAAGCGUGGGGAGCAAACAGGAUUAAAUACCCUGGUAGUCCACGCCGUAAACGAUGAGUGCUAGGUGUUAAGGGUUUCAAUACCCUUAGUGCCGCAGCUAACGCAAUAAGCACUCCGCC
rnacentral:rRNA from 1 species